UUGUCUGGAGAUCCCCUCUACUGCUGUUUUUUGUAGGUGAGCCUAGCAAACAGCCUCUGCUUUCCAAAGGAAAAUUAGAACAUUCCAAAGCCCAUCAGGCUUGCUGAGAGCCCCUAUUUGGUGCAACGUGUAGCAGACUCAGGAGCUGCGAAACUUCAGCUGGAUUGGUGAUGGAUGUCACAGGGUGUCUGGCCCAAGGGAGGAACACCCAGAAAAACUACAUUAGUGCUCAGAGAGACUAGAGACCCUGAAGCAUGACAUUUGUAAGCAUAACAGUUGCAGAUUCUCCAAGGACCCAUCACAGUCUGCAGCAAUGCUGUUUUUGAUUUUAAUUCCAUGGUCAUUGAGAAGUGUGAGCAUGUGAACACCUUACAUUCAUUACUCUACCACAUUUCAGGAGCUGGGAGCUGGAAAUGCCAUUCUGUCUGAGAGUCUCUUAUAAGGUCACAACUGUUACUUUUUGCACCUUUCUGCAUGCGUAUUGAACUAGCGUGUAAGGUUGUCAGCACGCCCUCAGUAACCAGAAAAGCACAAAAAUCCAUUUCCUAAUUUAGAGGUCUCGUUAAACAAAAGCAACCAGCAAACUUUUCAUUUCAUUUGAACAUCAGAAAGAGAAUCAAAAGCUGAGAUAACAGAAGACCAUCUUUGGGAUUCAGAGGUAGAGUCAAUAGGUUGAUCUAUGCCUUUAAAUCAAUCUUCUGUUUGUUUCUACCUAAACUUGAACGCUAUUUUGUGCUUUGACACAUUUUUUAACUUCUUUGCAAGGUGAAUAUUGGUUUAAAAAUGAGGAGUCUUCUAUCAUACAGAUCAAUACAGAUAUUGAAUUGAAGUAAUGGAAAAGAUCUUACACUUUGGCAAAUGUCAAAUGAUUUCAAAAUCAGCCUGACGGUAAAUACAGUUGACAAGAUUUUACAUUAUGGGUAGCAUAUGCAGUUUAACUGCUCUGUGUGAAGAGUAGAAGAAACUGCUCCUGAUUUUUUUUCCCCCCUUUUUUAUAUUUAAUCUUUUCAUAAUCUAAAAUAUAUUCAGUCCAUAUAUUUGCAAGCAAGCUGCACUGUUGCUGAUAUCUCUUCUUCUAUUAAAAUCUGUAAUUAAAAUAGAGAGGUAGCAGUAUUUGCUAAUGAGAGGGCUUCUUGUCUCCCAGGAGAAUUCUUGCUAACGGCUGAGGACUCCAGGGCAACUGUGCUCCAGAGAACACAAGUGGCUGCUGAGCUGGCUGGAAAUCCAAAUUUUAUCCUGUGGGAAACUCUGACAUUCUAUAAUGUUUUUAUCUGAAAUAAUAAAACUUUAAUUUUCUCUCAA